UAGGAACAGAUAAACAACAGCUCAACCUUCCCAUAUCGUAUCCGUUAACAACUUAGACUUCAGAUCAAGUUUUCAUCCCACAAGUUUAGGUCUAGAGCAAGCCUUAAAUUAUAACAGUUAUAUCUAAACUUGAGAGAGAACUUCAAAUUUGCAAAUUAGGCAGAGCAACUAUUCAUCAUAUCCAUGCUUAAGUUUUAUUAGAUACAGAUUAGCAUAGCCACUUUAUUUAUUUAUUAAACACACUAAGCAAAAUAUAUAUAAGUAUAAAAUCUUUAUUUGGUUUUUCAUAGUUAUGUGUAUUUAUAUUCUAAUAUAGUAUAAGUAUAAAGAUAGAUAGAAAUACUUAUCGAGAUAAAUGGGGGUGCUUUCCCCCAAGCUGAAUUUUGACGUAAUUUCUCUUGAUGUAGCUAGCAGGUGGCAGAGGUGUGUUUGAAAGUCAGGAGUAUUUUGACAGCGAUUAGAAUGUCCUCUGUCUGCUAGUCUUCUUGAUUCUUAAAUUCUGUGGAGCUCAAAUAGACAACAAAGCUUGUGGAACUGAUUAAGUGUUAGCAUAAAUAUUUAGCCUUUAUCAUCUUGAGACUCCUUAAUAAUUAUUACUCCCUGUUUUUUAUAUUUUCAUUUUAUAAAGCAGAAAAAUAUUUAUUUUAUUUUUAUGCCACCACAGUGAAUGUACUUAUGGGUUUUAUGCCACUCGUAUACUCACAUGGGGCUUACUGUUUUUCACAUUUUUAUUUUCUUUUAUUUUUAAGAUAGUAUGAAUAUGAUUAACUAAGUAAACUAUCUAAAAUAAUUGAAAGGGAAAUGAUAACUACCAAGUUUACCUCUUGGCAAGGCGUUCGGUAUUUUUAAGUCCUCCGAACGGGACUCUCCGUUUUCGUAGUCGUCCUGGGAUUUGCUGGGUGGCGUAGUCGGUGGUUCCGGCGGCGCCUCCUCUUCGUGUAUAACUAUCUUCUCUUUCCAUACCUGACUCGGUGCUACGGUCUCCUCAGGACAGUUCUGUUCAAGUUGUAUGUCUUCAGUCCUUAUCACUUCUCCUUCGUAGUCUACCCAUCCGUCCUUGAUGAUUUGCCUCCUCUGGUUGCGGUUGCGUUGUCUUCUUCUUGUCCUGACCUGCUUAGAAUCUUCAACUAUAUAGUUAGAAUCAUUAAAGUAGUGGCGUACCUUCUCAGAGGAGAAGUGCAUGUGGACUUCUCUGGUUCCAGUAUAGAUAAUGACUUUGAUAGUGCUGAGGAACGGUCUUCCAAGGAUGGUGGAUGGAUCAUACUUGUCUUCUCCCAUGUCAAUGACCUGAAAAUUUUCUGGGGCUGAAUGUAUGCUGGUUGUAGGAGCAUGGUUCCAUGCAGGAGCUGAUAAGUGACUGCGGCCAUUAUGUUGACAUCAGAUCCGGUGUCGUAGAGUGUCUUCUAAAAAGAGUAUCCAUUGAUUGUGCACUCAAUGUUUGGAACACCAGGGUCGUCCUUCUUGAUCAAGAAAGGUGACUUGAGUCGACGAUCUUGACCUCUUUGAACUGCAGUGACCAUCUUAGCUGACUCAGUCCACAUUUGCUUGUUCCUGUUCCUCCUGUUGGUCCUCUUCCUUGGUUUACGUCUGGAUUGAUCUUGAAUUUGUGUAGUCUUGUUCUUGAAGAAAUGUCUCCUUCUUCCCUUUGACGUAGAAACUGAUCUUGGCAGUACUAGCGUAGAUGAUAGCUCUUGUGUUUAGGAAUGACCUCCCUAAGAUGAUGGGUGCCCUCUCCUCAGUACCAAUCUCUAUUACCACGAAGUUUGCUGGAGCGUACAAGGUACCAACUCGGAUACAGAGGUUCUUCAAUAUUUCCUUUGGGAAACUAAGUGUCUGAUCUCCAUUGUGUUUGUGCUCGUAGAUCCCGGUUCUUCACUUGAUGGAAUCUGGGAGUUGUAAAACUCCUCCAUGUUUUGCUUGAAGUGUACCUAUUCAUAAAGACAAGGCAGAGAUCAAGUGCAUGGGCCCUGUUGGUGGAAAACACCAACAGAACCAAAAGUGUAUUUGUUCUUCUCCAACCUUAAGCAUAGUGAGCAAGACAAAGUUGUUGGAUCGUAGCAUUUAAAACAUGUGUUAGAUCAGAUGGCUCAACCUAAUGGAAAGAUAAUCUAUCUAUAUUUAUGUUUUGUUUAUAUCUUCCAAAGAUUGAAUGUGCAACAUAUUAGCUUAUAUGAUUGAGGACUAAGAACAAAGAUUAAAGGACUAAACAUGCUGAAUCAGUUAGGUUAAUUUAGAGUUAUAAAUCAUACAUGUUUGUCUCUUUAUUUAUGUGAAUGCCAGAACCAAGGCGAAGCUUAUAAAAGCGAUAGUCAAGUACUUUAAGAUGUUAUUGAAGAGUGAUGGUAUAGUAUCACCUUGUGGAAGCUUUCCUUUCUUAGUGGUUGUGCAUCGUGUUUGUGGCACCCUCCAUGAAUCAUCUCUUAUGAGCUACGUCUUUCUUGUGCAGAUUGUUAAACUUCAUGUGUCACUUUCUUCAUCUCAAAUGCGACUUUAUCUCAGGACUUCCCUGGUUGAUAUUGAAAGUUCUCCUGCAGGGGUUAGUCCCACAAAAUAUACCAAUAUCUACUCAAGCAGUUUUUAGUUCAGUAACCAAACUAGACUCCAUGUCUAAUCACAUUAAGGAAGGCUGUUUAACCUAAGCACCAUGCUUAAUUUAAAAGCCAAUGGAAGUAUGUCGAGUACUUCCAAACCUACACUUACUAGGAUAAACAAAGGUAGCAUGAUGGCAUUUAUAGAGAUCUACUCAAGUGGAGAUGAAGUAGUGUGAUUAGUAUUUAACAAAUUGAGCAUGUCUCAAAGGUAAGGACAACCAACAUAGCAACAUGGCAAAGGAUGUUUUUAUGUAAAGUACUCCCCCAAGCUUGAAUUUUACAAAAUUCAAGUUUGGAUGAAUUUAAUUCAAUGUUGUGUGAUGGUUGGUUGGACAUACCUUGUACUUGUCAUUCAUCCGAUCUUCUUGCUCCAAUCCUGGAAAGGUUAGUGACAAGAAUACCCGAAGGAAUAUUUCUACAAUUAUCUUUAUAUGCUCAAUACACAAGGCAAUGUUGCAAAUAAUUAGAAGUGCUUGUUUUAGGACACUAAGCUUGUCCUUGGGAAACCAUCAAUUAACUCAACGAGAUCUGCAAUAUUUAUUAUAGACAUAUGCAUCGACAACCGCUCUUUUAAAGUUUUUAUAAAUAAAAAAGAAGAGAGGGUUGGAGAUCUCAAAUGUGAUAAGGAUGGAGAGACUAAUUGAUUGGAGAGAUGUUUUAUAUGAGCAAGGACUGGGUAAGGUAUUUAAGAAAUAACUUCCAUACCCACUGUUGUUACUCUCAUUAUCAAACUCCAAGGAUGAUUCUUCGUGAAUGCUUAAAAUUCCUCUAGGAUUGUCUCUCAAGUUUGUUUUAUCUAUCCAUUCAAUGGUGAUAGCACAUGGAUUUUUAAUGCCCUCUAGCCAUCGAUGUUGCUCUUCUCGAUCCUCCUUCUUAUGCAUGGGAUGUCUAGAGAGAUUCAUAGGAUUAUCGGGAGGUUCAAGAGAAAGAGCAUAGUAGAAUUUAUUAAACUCUAGGAUGGGUUGGAUAGCCGAAUUAUGGGAUUGAAAUGUUUGAAAAUCGGUUAUUGAAACUUCCUCUCCUCGUCUGGGAGAUGAUUCCUUCUCUAUUUCUAAGAUUUUUCUAUGAAGACUAGUACAAGAAGGAUGUCCACAAAUGAAGACAUACCUUCCUUUACUAAUAGAUAAAGAACGAAGGACUCUACCAAAGGUUAUAUGAUUAAGACCAAUAUGAAAAUAUCGAGAAAAAACAUGGUCUUGUAGGGCUAGGUCUAAACCAGAGUUUAUAGUAAGAUUAACAUAUUCCCUAGGUGUAGCUAAAAGUGCAUUAUCUUUUUGAUUAAAAGAUAGGACCUCGGCUAUAGAAAAGGGUUGGUUUUGACCUAUUGCAAUCAACUCCGGACACAGAUCAUAAUUAGGGGCAGGACGUGUUGACUCCCAUGGUCUAUGGCUGGUCUCCGAAGGUGCAAAGAAUUCAAUAAUAGGUAUGGAAUUUAAGUUAUCCAUAAAAAUAAAAAGAUAAAAAAGUAUAAAAGUAUAAUACAAGAUAAUAGCAAGACUCAAAGUUAUCUCAGCAAACCGUCUUUCUCCCCGGCAACGGCGCCAGAAAUGCUUGUUGAUAUUUGGUAACGCAAUUAGAAAAUGAUCCGCAAGCGCACGGAUAUCGGUGAGCAUUUCACCCGGGAGGAUUUCCAGAGUAUCGUAUUUAUAUUUUUACCACUGGGAGAAAGGGUGCAUCUGACUAACCAAAUCUAUUGCUACUAUCCCUUUAGGCUACAAAGAAUGUCUCUCGAUGUGAGUGAUGUAUAGAGAUGACUGCAACCGUAGUCUCGUUCUAACCUUGGUAAGGAUGAUCUACUGUUUUAUUGGAGAGGCUCACGGAAUCUAGACAACUCAAAGGAUGUUCGACCCGCACCUAUAAACCUACCCGUCCUGCUAACGAGAUGUGAUCUGCAAAGGUAACUCGGAAUUGCCAUGUUCCUCGCUACUACCACGGUCCAGCUAGUCAGGGGAUAUCUAUGAGUACCCUAGCCUAAACACCACGUUUACGCUAACAAGUGAUUACUCUAAUACUCAACCGUAAGAGGAUUAAAGUAAACUCAUAAACCAAAGAACAAUAAAACAAGAACUUACUAGUAAUUAGAAGUCGAAUUACUGAAGAAUCUUAGAAGCAAGCCUCGGGUUAGGAGACUUGAUCCCGUAGGUAUAAAUCGGAGUAGACACCGAUAGGCCGGCCUUCCUCCGAUCCACACCUCCACUCUAUCUCUCUCAAUCUAGUAGAAACUAGAAGAUCUAUUUCUACUUUACAUUGGUUGCUAAGCCUAAAAAGAAAUAUUAUUUAGAGAAGAGGUUUUCCUUCGAGGGCACCCCUCAAUCUCUAUGAUAAUUCCUUGUCUUCUCCAGGGGCCAGAGGGGGUCUCCUUAUAUAGUCCUCCCCUUCUAUGCGUUUUUGGGUCGAUAGGCGAGGUGGUACUAUGUUAUUCUGGAUCCAAUAGGUCGGUGGAAUGUCGUGUACGAAGAGAGUCCGGAACAGAGUCCAGAGGGGGGCGGGCGCCCAGGUCCUCAGGGCGGGCGCCCUGGGCCUAGCCCCUUUCGGGCUCCGCUUCCUUCCCGUGGCUUCUGGAGUCUUCUAGAUGAUAGGAAAUUGCGCGGUGGGUUGAUAUCUCUAUGUAAUCCCGACAUGUGGGCCUUUCUUCCUUAUUUCCUGAUAACCCCCUGCAGAAAUAGACAAACACCAAAACUCGUAGAAUUCUGUCAGAUAAAACCCUAAGUCUAGAUGUUGAUUUCAUUUGGAUCCUUUUCUUUAUUUAUUUGAUAAUUAAAUUUGAUACUUAAGGACCGUCAACAAGUACUAGGCUUGGAGUCAACCAGUCAAUGCUGUCCCUGUGUGGAGCUUCCGUCGAGAGCGUUGUUUACUUUAUGUUAUCAUCUUUGUAAGAGACUAUGUGAUAUUUUAUAUUCCGCUAUGUAAUAAACACUACAAUGGUACAUUUGAGAUUUGUCUACUUAUGUGUGCGACUGUUUUUUGGGGCACAUAUGAGUCUUUUAUGCAUCCUAUUUUGUUCUUAAAAUAUGGGUGUGACAAGAAAUCAAGGAUUAGAUAAGAAGAAAGAAUAGCAGAGAUAAGGCAAAAGAUAAAAGGAAAAGUAUAUAUAUAUUUUUUUAUUUUUUAGAAAAUGAUUGAGCUAGUUCGUAGUCAACUCAGCAACCGUCUCCCCAGCAACGGCGCCAAAAAUGCUUGUUGACACUUGCUAACACCACUUGAAUACUAGGUUGUUAUCCCCAACAUGACACUAGAGUGUACUAUGGUAUUUAUACGCACACAGAUAAAUCCGCAAGUGCACGGAUACCGUUGUAGCUUUUACCCAGUUAAAGGUUUCAUCGUAUCCACAGGGAAACAGGAGAACCAACUACGCUCUAACUUAACCAAGAUAGAUAGAUGAGUGUAAAUAGGAAAGAUGGUAGAAUUGAAUAAGAACAAUAUUAAAGGUAAGAUAACAAUGGGUGAUAAUAUGGGAAUAGAGAGUAGAGCAAUCUAAUAUAUGGGCGAUGGUAGCAGAAUAGAGAGGAUAACUAUGGUUUCUCUACUUUAAAGGGGUAUGUCUAUGUCUAGGACGAACCACGUGAUAAGAAUACACCACAAAGGAUGCUUCUCCAUAGGCCGAUAAACCCUACCCGUCGUACUAACAAGAGGUGGACUACAGGGGACCAACGUAACUAUCACCUACGCGGCCUACCACACGAUCCAGCUAGACAGUGGAUAUUCACAAGUACUCUAGGUCUAAGCACCACGCUUACACCUAUACUACAACUCUAACCUAUAGGGUCCUAUAGAUUAGAAGUACUCAAAAGAGUUGUGAACCAGAACAUACAUGAUUAGUAAUUGCAUAAUGAAUUAGAAGUAGAUUACUAGAGUCAUCCCAUGAGCAAGCUUGAUUAGAGCUUGAUCAUGGUGAAGUACAACCGGAGGAAGAAUCGACAGGCCGGCCUCUCCUCCAAUCCUCCCUCGCUCUCCAUCUCGCUACUAUCUAGAUCUACUCUAGUUUAGAGAAGAGAGGAGAGCUCUCAUCUCUAAACCCUAGCUUUUGCUCUGUCUAUGAAUAAUGAAUAUGGAUCAAGGGGUUGCCUCCUCUUGGGGCCAGGGGGUCUGCUUAUAUAGGCCCCUCAAGUGAAUCUGGGCCGUCGGAUCAAACCGACAUUGAUUGAAUGGUUAUUCUUGAUCCUUUAGGUCGGUGGAGCGUAAUCCCCGAAGAGAGUCCUGAUUGGACUCUGGGACAGGGCGGGCGCCCAUGGGGGGAGGGCGGGCGCCCUGCCCCCGAGCCCGCUUGGCCUCCCGUUUGUUCCCGUGGCUUCUGGAGUCUUCUAGAUGAUAGAAAAUUGCGUGGCACGUUCAUAUCUCUAUGUAAACCCGACAUGUGGGCCUUUCCUCCAUAUUUCCUGAUAACCCCCUGCAGAAAUAGACAAACACCAAAACUCAUGGAAUUCUGUCAGAUAAAACCCUAAGUUUAGGUGUUGGCUGUAUUUGGAUCCUUUUCUUUGUUUAUUUGCAUUGAGAGUUGCAUCUAGUGGCACUUGAUCCUUGAGUUUGUUGUGGAUUUCUUGUUACUCUUGGGUGUUUCUCGACACCCUACAUGGCUUGGAGCAGUGGAGGUGUUGAGCUUGUGACUGGAGAUUGUUUCGAGCCUCACGAAGUGAUUUGUGAGGGGUUCUUGAGCCUUUUUUGCUGGAGAUCACAAUUGGAAACUUGUUAACUUACAAAAUUUGUUAGCAUUUAUUUCUCAACCAGAUAUCAAUAUAUACUAGAAUAGGGUUAUCACUGACAAUUUCCAUGAGUUUUUCAUAUUUUGUGUUUUCUAGGGAUAAUUUCAAAAAGAGCUGAAAAGAGGGAUUUAAGUGCUAAUUGGCCACGAAACGUAUCCGUGAUGGAAGGAUGACACCAGAGGAAUCAGGAACACCCUAGAAGACACCCGACGCAACGGGGGAGCCAGUAGCCGCGAGGUGGGGUCGGCCGGCCACACCCUAGCGCCGGCCGGCCCCCUAUGGUUAGGGUUUGCUCCCCCCUUCCCGAAGCUUCCUCCACCGCCUUUGAGGAGCCAUCUCGUCUGAUUGUUAAAUCGGUUUGAUCCAACGGCAUGUGUCCAUCUCAAUAGGCUAUAAAUAGAAGGCUAGACCCCCCUGGAGGAGGCCACUGUUGACGGUCCUUAAGUAUCAAAUUUAAUUAUCAAAUAAACAAAGAAAAGGAUCCAAAUGAAAUCAACAUCUAGACUUAGGGUUUUAUCUGACAGAAUUCCACGAGUUUUGGUGUUUGUCUAUUUCUGCAGGGGGUUAUCAGGAAAUAAGGAAGAAAGGUCCACAUGUUAGGAUUACAUAGAGAUAUCAACGCACCGCGCAAUUUUCUACCAUCUAGAAGACUCCAGAAGCCACGAGACCGAAGCGGAGGCGAAACGGGGCCAGGCCCAGGGCGCCCGCCCUGGUGACCUGGGCGCCCGCCCCCUGUUGGAACCAGAUCAGGACUCUCUUCGCUCGGGAUGUUCCACCGACCUAUUGGGUCAAGGAAAACAUAGUACCACCUCGCCUAUCGACCCAAAAACGCAUAGAAGGGGAGGACUAUAUAAGGAGACCCCCAUGGCCCCUGGAGAAGACAUGAAGAAAUUAUCAUAGAGAUUGAGGGGUGCCCUCGAAGGAAAACCUCUUCUCUAAUUAAUAUUUCUUUUUAGAUUGAGAGAGAUAGAGUGGAGGUGAAGACUGGAGGAAGCCCGGCCUGUCGGUGUCUACUCCAAGCUUGUACCUGCGGGAUCAAGUUCUCCUAACCCGAAGCUUGCUCCUAGGAUUCUUCAGUAUUUCGACUUCUAAAUUCUAGUAAGUUCUUGUUUUAUUGUUCUUAUGGUUUAUGAGUUUACUUUAAUCUCUUCGCGUAGAGUUUAGAGUAAUCAUUGCUGGCGUAAACGUGGUGUUUAUGCUGGGGUACUCAUAGAUAUUCCCUGACUAGCUGGACCGUGGUAGUAGUGAGGAACGUGACAAUUCCGAGUUACCUUUGCAGAUCACAUCUCGUUAGCAGGAAGGAUAGGGUUUAUAGGUACGGGUUGAACAUCCUUUGUGGUGUCUAGAUUCCGUUAGCCUCCCCAUUAGAACAGUAGAUCAUCCUUACCAAGGUUAGAAGGAGACUACGGUUGCAGUCUUCUCUAUUUAUCACUCACAUCGAGAGACAUUCUUUGUAGCCUAAAGGGAUAGUAGCAAUAGAUUUGGUUAGUCAGAUGCACCCUUUCUCCCAGUGGUAAAAAUAUAAAUACGAUAACUUUGGAUAAUCUCCCGGGUGAAAUGCUCACCGAUAUCCGUGCGCUUGCGGAUCAUUUCCUUAUUGCGUUACCAAAUAUCAACAGCCACAUUAAGAGAUGAAGAGUCAGAGCAUUAGAUACACAUCCACUAGAUCUAGGCUAGCAAUCAAGAUAGAGAUUAGAGAGAUAGAGUAGAGAAGUAGCGAUUCAGAGGAGUCCCGGCCUGUCGGAGCUUCCUUAGGAGCUGUAUUCGUUUAGAUUUGGCUCCCUCGCCCGGAGCUACGUUCUGAGGUACUUCUGUAUUUACCCUUUCUGAUUCAAGUAUGCAACUUGUUUGUAUUCGUUCUUUGGUUUGCAACUCAUAUUAUAUUGAGUACUACAAUUUGGGUAGCUCCUAGGUCGGAGUAGUGAUUCGUAGCGUAGACGUGGUGUCUAGGCUAUGGUUGCUUGUGAAUGUCUCCUGAUCAGCCGGAGAGUGGUAGUUCGCGUAGGUAACUUUAUAGCUGCGUUGAUUCCUCUGUGUUGGGUAUUUUAAACGCAAACAGAAAAAAUCCGCAAGCGAACAGAUACCGAUGUAGCCUUCACCCAGGAGUAUUUCAGAGUAUCGAUUUUCCACAGGGAACGUGAGUGUACUAAUCAAGAAUCAAGAUCGCCCAAGGAUAACUAUAUAAUUAUUUUUGGUGGGAAGAGAGGAAGUUUCCUGAGAGUUGUCUAGUUGAUCUAAGAAUCAAAAAUUACUUCAAGAUUAUCUAUAUCGGGACAUCAGAGCACUAACCAGAGAAAGAGAUGAGAAGGGGGCUAGGAAGGUCUGACUACGGUCCUACAAACACCGAUCCGAGGUGGAAUACGUCGACCGUUAGGGCUGUCACUACCCUAAGGCUACCACAACAAUCCGCAGGAUUGGGUGCAAUUCUAGGUAAUUGCAAGACUAAACACCACGUCUAAUCUAUUAAUUACUACUCUAGCGUUAUAAAGACUAGAGCACUUGAUGCAAGUGGGAAUCCAAUAAAUAACUUGAAUGUAAAUAAAAGUAAUUAAAGAACUCAGGAAUUAUGAAUUGAAGAACCUGGAGAACGAUGAAGAACGAACCAGUUGCUGCAAAAGUAUAAUGUUGAGGAAGAUCCGACAGAUCCGGCUCCUCCUCCGCUCUCCUCUUCGCUCUCCCUAUUUUCUAGAUUACAACUAGAACUAACUAGAACUAGAACUAGUGGAACUAGAACUAGAACUAGAUGAACUAGAAUUAGAUCUAGAUGAACUAGAGGUAGAACUAAAAGAACUAGAGGGAUCCUCUCUACUUGGAUGAAGAAUUGAAACCCUAACUUUGAUUCUGUAGAAGAGGUAUGAUCUCCAGGGGCUAGGGAGGUCUGGUUUUAUAGUCCCUUCCAGUGAAUCUGGGCCGUCGGAUCAAACCGACAUUGAUCGCAUGAUUUUCCUUGAUCCUUUAGGUCGGUGGAGCAUAAUCCGCGAAACGUGUCCUGAUUGGGCACUGUAGCUGGGCGGGCGCCGAGGGGAGUUGGGCGGGCGCCCAGCCUCCGAGCCCGAUUUCCUUCCCGUUCGUUCCCGUGGCUUCUGGAGUCUUCUAGAUGAUAGAAAAUUGCGUGACAUGUUAAUAUCUCUAUGUAAACCCGACGUGUGGGCCUUUCUUCCGUAUUUCCUGAUAACCCCCUGCAGAAAUAGACAAACACCAAAACUCAUGGAAUUCUGUCAGAUAAAACCCUAAGUCUAGGUGUUGGUUCCAUUUGGAUCCUUUUCUAUGAUUAGUUGAUGGUUAAUUGUGAGCAUUAAGGACCGUCAACAAGCUCCCCCAAGCUUAACCUUUGAUCGUCCCUGAGCAAAGAUGAACUCAAGAGUUUCUGCAGUGGUUUCAUAACUUAAAGAUACACAUGCGUUUAAACAGGAUCUCAUCUCUGGUUAGAGUAAACUGUUAAGACUUAAAACUUACUCAUUUACCUUUCACCAUGGGACUUGUAACCGUCACUUCUGUCUUGAGUAGUUAAAAGAUAGAACAGUCUAGUCAAGCACCAUGUCUCUUGUUCUUCGAUUAACUAUAGCUCUGGAGUUUUUACAGAUUUUCAAAUAAAACUCAGAGAUUCCUUGUAUGACUCUCUAGUCUCUCUUUUGUGGUAUUUCUGGAUCCUUACCAAGGCAGUAAUGGUGUAUGCCUUCUCUCAAAGUAUGUGGUAUUUUUGGUAUGAGGCAUAGUGGUAUUGCCUUCUCUCUCACCCUACUCUAAUAAGGUUUUGAUAUCUGGAGCUCAUAGGUAGGAGACAACUAAUACAUACUUACAAAACAUUUAUUGCAUAGUCAAACCAUGGAUCCAGAAGAACAAGUCAAUAAGUCAAAUCAAGAUGUGCAUGUGUGGUGAAUGAAUGGUGUAUGGUGAUGAUGGUGAUAACAAUGGUGAAAGUCUAAUUAUACUUAUGCUCUUUUGAGGGGAUACAUACCUUUCUUGCUCUUUUGAAACUUUUUGAGGAGAAUGAGAUGCUCUAUGUUUUAUUUUUCUUGCACGUGGGUAUCUUGUACCCCUAAUUCUACUGUCGGACACUUGUCCAUUUUUACCUCUCGUCUCACUUUUUCUUUCUUUCGAGGUUCCGGGCACUUGCCCCUUUUUAUUUCCUCAUAUACUUUUUUUUCUUUUCUUUUUUUUCUUUUUUUAGAGCACUCAUCUCAUGAGAUAAUAUAGCAAGUGGUAGUAACAAGAUAACUUGAGCAUUUAUUUCACAAGGGAAAACAGAAAUGUUUUUGGCUAUUCUCUCCCUAAUUAGGAGUAGAAUAUUUUUAGGUGAUUCUGGAGAUGGAAAUGGCUGGAUAUAUGUGGAUGCGUACUUCCAGAGUAGAAGCAGCAUGUGUGAGUGAACGUGCAAGUGAAUCUUGACUUAACCACAUGACAAGCUCCUAAGGGUCUACACAGCUUGACCACACUCAAUGCUCAUAAGCAGUAAAAAGUAAAUGUAUGGUUCAUAGUCUAACAAGCAUGUAUAUAUGGCUGUGGUAGGAAUUUAAACUCUCAUCAUACAGGAACUCAUCAUGCAUUUUAAAGAUUUUCAAAGAUAAAAUUCUCCAGAAUUCUAGCAUCUCUAGGAACAGAUAAAUGUUGGGUAUUCUUAACAUCAUUACUAAAAGUAGACUAAGUUCUAAAUCUAGCAACGGUGCCAAAAAUGCCAAACCUAUCCCUCACACCACUUAAGCCAAGUUGUCAUCCCCAGCAUGAUAUGAGAGACGCGGUAUUGAAAUAUGCAAUUGCUCUUCUAAAUAAAUAAUGAAUGGGAUCUGCAAGCGCACAGAUUAAUACCGAUGUAGCAUUUUAACCGGGAAGUAUUCCAGGUAUCGUUAUUUAUAUUUUUACCACUGGGAAGGGAUUAGCAAUCAUCACUAUUGAUUACAGAAUAGAAUAUGAGAUUGAGCAUCUAUCAUUGCAUGUAUAAUUGAGAACAUUAUAUCUAACUCAUCAUACAGGGAUAAAUGUCACAUAAAAGAUAUAUGAAAUAAUAAUAGUGACAAGGAUAACUAAUCUGAUCUAGCCACAUAAUAAAUAUGAUAAGCACCUCAAUUAGAUACUCUAGAAAGUCAUUAGCAUGGUAUUAGAACGAACUACAAGAAUAUUCCCUAAGUUAUUCUCAACUAUAUAGUCUAGCAUUAUCAUAGUUAGAGCAAGCAUACUUAGCAAUCAUUGUGAGACAAGACUACGCCCAUGCAUAGUGAUAUUAGCAAGGAAUAUGAGAAACAUAGCAAUCACUCCCCUGUAAUAAUGUUGCUCUGCCAGCCCAAUACACGAGAGGGGGACUAUAUAAGAAUCAAUGAAGCUGUCACUAUCACGAACCACCCCACGAUCUGGCAUAUUGGGUACAAUCGCAGAUAAAUACGGUAUAAGCACCACGCCUACACAAUAUCUAUCAGUUACCCAUGGAUCCGAUGGAUAAACGCUAUACGAUCCUAAGCAUGUAUAUAGAUCGUAUCUAACUAAGCCAAGUACAUAACUAUGAUAAACUAAGAACAAUAUAAUCUUGAAUAUAAGCAAGUAGAGCAAAGUCAUAAGCAAUAUAUUGAAGUAGAACAAAGUCAUAUUCAUAAUAUUGAAGAACAAAGAUAAUUAGAAAGCAAUUAGAAGCACAAUUAGAAGAUUACCAAGAAUCCUCCUGACAGAUCCGGAAACCAAUCGAAGAUUGACUCCUUCUAGUUCUAAUCCUAUGUAGCUAUGCUAAUCUAGAUGUCUAAUUGAUGUGGUGGCUCUAAUCUUGAUCAGAGGCUUCUUCUCCCUUGAUGGAACAAUGAAUUAGGGUUGAGAGGCUCUCUCCUCCAGGGGCCAGGGGGUCUGGUUUUAUAGUCCCUCCAAGUGAAUAUGGGCCCUUGGAUCAAACCGACAUAGAUUGUAUGGUUUAGAUUCAUCCUUUAGGUCGGUGGAGAUCUCCCGCAAAGCAGAGUCCUGAUUGGACUCAGGAGGUGGGCGGGCGCCCUGACCAACUGGGCGGCCGCCCAGGGUCUGGCCCCGUUUCGCCUCCGCUUCGGUCCCGUGGCUUCUGGAGUCUUCUAGAUGUAAGAUAAUUGCGCAGCACAUUAAUACCUUUACGUAAUCCUGACAUGUGGGUCUUUCUUCCGUAUUUCCUGAUAACCCCCUACAGAAAUAGACAAACACCAAAACUCGUGGAAUUCUGUCAGAUAAAACCCUAAGUCUAGAUCUUGAUUUCAUUUGGAUCCUUUUCUUUAUUUAUUUAAUAAUUAAAUUUGAUACUUAAGGACCGUCAACAAACUCCCCCAAGCUUACCUCUUGCUUGUCCCUGAGCAAGGAUAGACUCAGCUAUGGAUCAGAAGUAGUUGCAAUAUCUUUAAAAAUUUGACGGUACACAUGCUUUUAAAUAAGAUCUCAUCUCUAAGUUAGAGUAAACUGUCAAGACUUAAAACUUACUUACUUUACCUUCACCAUGGGACUUGUAACUGUCACUUCUGUCUUGAGUGGUUAAAAGAUAGAACAGUGUAGCCAAGUGCCAUGUCUCUUAUUCUUGAUCAGCUAUAGCUCUGGGAUUUUUGCAGAUUUUCAAAUAAAACUCAGAGAUUCCUUGUAUGAUUCUCUCAGGUCUCUCUUUUGUGGUAUUUUUGGAUCCUUACCAAGGCAUUGAUGGUAUAUACCUUCUCUCAAGAUAUGUGGUAUUUGUGGUAUGAGGCAUAGUGAUAUUGCCUUCUCUCUCACCCUACUCUACUAAGGCUUUAAUAUCUUGAGCUCAUAGGUGGGAGAUAAAGUAUACAUACUUACAAGACAUUUAUUGCAUAGUCAAACCACGGAUCAAAAAUAACAAGUCAAUAAGUUUAAUCAAGAUGUGCAUGUGUGGCGAAUGAAUGGUAUAUGGUGAUGAUGGUGAUAACAAUGGUGAAAACAAUGGUGGUGGAAGUCUAAUUCUACUUUUGCUCUUUUGAGGGGAUACAUACCUUCCUUGCUUUUGAAACUUUAUGAUGAGAAUGAGAUGCUCUUCUUUUUCUUGUCUCUCAGGUGGGUAUCUUGCACCCCUAAUUCUACUGUCGGACACUUGUCCAUUUUUACCUCUCGUCUCACUUUUUUUUCUUUUUGAGGUUCUGAGCACUUGCUCCUUUUUAUUUCCUCGUAUUAUUCCUUUUCUCUCUUUUUUUUAGAGCACUCAUCUCUUGAGAUAAUAUAGCAAGUGGUAGUAACAAGAUAACUUGAGCAUUUAUUUCACAAGGGGAAAACAGAAAUAUUUUUGGUUAUUCUCUCCCGGAUUAGGAGUAGAAUAUUUUUAGGUGGUUCUGGAGAUGGAAUGGGUGGAUAUAUGUGGAUGGUACUUCCGGAGUAGAAGUAGCAUAUAUGAGUGAACGUGCAAGUGAAAUCUUGAUUUAACCACAUGACAAGCUCCUAAGGGUCUACACAGCUUGACCACACUCAAUGCUCAUAAGCAGUAAAUAGUAAAUGUGUGGCUCAAAGUCUAGCAAGCAUGUAUAUAUGGCUGUGGUAGGAAUUUAAACUCUCAUCAUACAGGAACUCAUCAUGCAACAUUUUAAAGAUUUUCAAGAUAAAAUUCUCCAGAAUUCUAGCAUCUCUAGGAACAGAUAAACAGCAGCUCAGCCUUCCCAUAUCUUAUCCGUUAACAACUUAGACUUUUUCAUCCCACAAGUUUAGGUCUAGAGCAAGCUUUAAAUUAUAACUGUUAUAUCUAAACUUGAGAGAGAACUUAAAAUUUGCAAAUUAGGCAGAGCAACUAUUUAUCAUAUCCAAGCUUAAGUUUUAUUUAGAUACAAAUUAGCAUAGACACUUUAUUUAUUUAUUAAACACACUAAGCAAAAGAUAUAUAUAAGCAUAAAAUCUUUAUUUGGUUUUUCCAUAGUUUAUGUGUAUUUUAAUAUUCUAAAAUAAUGUAAGUAUAAAGAUAGAUAGAAAUACUUAUCGAGAUAAAUGGGGGUGCUCUCCCCCAAGCUGAAUUUUGACGUAAUUUCUCUUGAUGUAGCUAACAGGUGGUAGAGGUGUAUUUGAAAGUCAGCAGCAUUCUGACAGCGAUUAGAAUGUCCUCCGUCUGCUAGUCUUCUUGAUUCUUAAAUUCUGUGGAGCUCAAAUAGACAACAAAGCUUGUGGAACUGAUUAAGUGUUAGCAUAAAUAUUUAGCCUUUAUUAUCUUGAGACUCCUUAAUAAAUAUUACUCCCUGUUUUUAUAUUUUUUGUUUUUAUAAAGCAGAAAAAUAUUUAUUUUAUUUUUAUGCCACCACAGUGAAUGUACGUAUGGGUUUUAUGCCACUCGUAUACUCACAUGAGGCUUACUGUUUUUCAUAUUUUUAUUUUUUUUUAAGACAGUAUAAACAUGAUUAACUAAGUAAACUAUUUGAAAUAAUUGGAAGGGAAAGGGUAACUACCAAGUUUACCUCUUGGCAAGGCGUUCGGUGUUUUUAAGUCCUCCAAACGGGACUCUCCAAUUUCUUAAUCGUCCUGAGGUUCGUUGGGUGGCGUAGUCGGUACUUCCGGCAGUGCCUCCUCUUCUUGUAUAGUUAUCUUCAUUUUCCAUACCUGACUCGGUGCUUCAAUCUCCUCUAGAUAAUUCUGUUUAAACUCAACGUCUUCUGAUCUUACAACUUCUCCUUCAUAGUCUGCCCAUCCAUCCUUGAUGAUCUGCCUCCUCUGGUUGCGGUUGCGUCUCUUUCUGACCUGCUUAGAUUCUUCAACGAUAUAGUUAGGGUCAGUAAAAUAACGGCGUACCUUCUCAGGGGGGAAGUGCAUAUGGACUUCUCCGGUUCCAAUGUAGAUAAUUGCUUUAACGGUGCUGAGGAACGGCCUUCCAAGGAUGAUGGGUGGAUCACACUCGUCUUCUCCCAUGUCAACAACUUGAAAGUCUGUGUAGACAAAAUGAUCGUCUAUUUUGACUGGGACAUCAGAUACUGUUCCUUGAACUUCUCGAAAUGUCUGAUCUGCCAUCUGGAGCUGAAUGUAUGUUGGUCUUAGUGGCAUGGUCCCGAACAAGAGCCGAUAGGUGACUGCGGCCAUUAUGUUGACGCCUGAUCCGGUGUCGCAAAUCGUCUUGUAGAAGUUGUAUCCAUUUAUGGAGCAGUAAAUGCUUGGCAUUCCUGGGUCGUCCUUCUUGGUCAAAAACGGUGACCUCAGUUGGUGAUCUUGGCCUCCAUGGACUACAGUGACCAUCUUAGCUGACUCGGUCCACACUUGUUCCUGUUCCUCCUGUUGGUCCUCUUCCUUGAUCCACGUCUGGAUUGAUUUGGAAUUUGUGUAGUCUUAUUCUUGAAGAAAAAUGUCUCCUUCCUCCCUUUGAUGUAGAAACUGAUCUUGGCAGCACUAGCGUAGAUGAUAGCUCCCGUGGUGUUUAAGAAUGGCCUCCCUAGAAUGAUAGGUGCUCUCUCAUCAUUUCCGGUCUCUACCACUACGAAGUCUGCUGGUGCAUACAAGGUACCAACUCGGACACAAAGGUUCCUCACUAUUCCUUUUGGAAAAGUUAUCGUCUGAUCUGCAAACUGCAAACACAUGGUUGUCUCUAAUAAAGGAUAUGUAAAGAAUUUUUCAUAGAGUACUCUGGGUAUAAUGUUGACACUGGAGCCAAAGUCACAGAGUGCUCCUGGGACGUCCACCAUGCCGAUGGAGAUCGGGAUGACGGGGCGUCCUGGAUCGCCUCUCUUGACCGGCAGAUGGUCAGUAGAGAAUUCAUUGACGGGGUUACUCCAAUUACCUGCAUCAAACAUGUCUACAAGAUUGGCAGAUUCUAAUCCUUCCGGUUGUGAUGGUAUACCGGGGUUAGUAGUAGGAACAACAGCAGCUAUUUGAUUUAACUGAGAUUCAAUCAUUUUAUUAAAGCUAAUUUGAUUCUUGAUGGCAGUAGAGAAAUUAUCCAUUCUAUUAUUUAUAUUUUCUAGUAUUUUAUCAAUAGAUGCCAAUUUCUUAGAUAGGUUAUCCAUUAGCUUUCCUUGAUUAGACACUAACUCUCUCAAAGGUGGAAAAUUGUUAUUGUUGUUGUAAGAAUUGUUACCUUGAUAAUUACCUGAGUAGUUAGGCCUCUGUUGAUUCCAACCUUGAUUUUGUUGAGGACGGAUGUAGUAGUAGUUGUUGUUGUUGAUGUAGUUCACAUCCUCAAGUAUCUCAGGGCAGUGGUUGCCUGAGUGUCCAGUGUCUCCACACUCCUCACAAGUCAUGUGAGAGUCGUAGAUGUACAUAACUUCUUUCUUGUCUCUAGCUCUAUCAUCGAGCUUCUUCAUGAGCAGGUCUAGCUUUGCAGACAGCAUGUCUACCUCCUUCAGCUGAUGCAUACCUCCACCUCUCUUGCGUGUCUGGGUCCUCUAUUCAUUCCAGCUUUGAUUGGACGCCAUCUUCUCCACAAGAGCUGUGGCUUGUGGUAUAGUAAGUGAUAAGAAUGCUCCUCCAGCUGCAGCAUCCAUAGUCUCUCGG
rnacentral:lncRNA from 1 species